UACGUAGGUGGCAAGCGUUGUCCGGAAUUAUUGGGCGUAAAGCGUGCGCAGGCGGCUAUUUAAGCUUGCUGUGAAAGCCCCGGGCUUAACCUGGGAACUGCAGUGAGGACUGGAUGGCUGGAGUGUGGCAGAGGGGGGUGGAAUUCCACGUGUAGCAGUGAAAUGCGCAGAUAUCAGGAGGAACACCGGUGGCGAAGGCGGGUCUCUGGGCCGAUACUGACGCUGAGGAGCGAAAGCGUGGGGAGCGAACAGG
rnacentral:rRNA from 1 species